GACGAACGCUGGCGGCGUGCCUAAUACAUGCAAGUAGAACGCUGAAGAGAGGAGCUUGCUCUUCUUGGAUGAGUUGCGAACGGGUGAGUAACGCGUAGGUAACCUGCCUUGUAGCGGGGGAUAACUAUUGGAAACGAUAGCUAAUACCGCAUAACAAUGGAUGACACAUGUCAUUUAUUUGAAAGGGGCAAUUGCUCCACUACAAGAUGGACCUGCGUUGUAUUAGCUAGUAGGUGAGGUAAUGGCUCACCUAGGCGACGAUACAUAGCCGACCUGAGAGGGUGAUCGGCCACACUGGGACUGAGACACGGCCCAGACUCCUUCGGGAGGCAGCAGUAGGGAAUCUUCGGCAAUGGGGGCAACCCUGACCGAGCAACGCCGCGUGAGUGAAGAAGGUUUUCGGAUCGUAAAGCUCUGUUGUAAGUCAAGAACGGGUGUGAGAGUGGAAAGUUCACACUGUGACGGUAGCUUACCAGAAAGGGACGGCUAACUACGUG
rnacentral:rRNA from 1 species